AUUGAACGCUGGCGGCAGGCCUAACACAUGCAAGUCGAACGAGUGGCGGACGGGUGAGUAAUGUCUGGGAAACUGCCUGAUGGAGGGGGAUAACUACUGGAAACGGUAGCUAAUACCGCAUACCAUCGGAUGUGCCCAGAUGGGAUUAGCUAGUAGGUGGGGAAAAGGCUCACCUAGGCGACGAUCACUAGCUGGGCUGAGAGGAUGACCAGCCAAACUGGGACUGAGACACGGCCCAGACUCCUACGGGAGGCAGCAGUGGGGAAUAUUGCACAAUGGGCGCAAGCCUGAUGCAGCCAUGCCGCGUGUAUGAAGAAGGCCUUCGGGUUGUAAAGUACUUUCAGCGGGGAGGCGUUACCCGAAGAAGAAGCACCGGCUAACUCCGUGCCAGCAGCCGCGGUAAUUC
rnacentral:rRNA from 1 species